rnacentral:rRNA from 1 species
AUACGUAGGUGACAAGCGUUAUCCGGAUUUACUGGGCGUAAAGGGCGUGUAGGCGGUCUUGCAAGUCAGAAGUGAAAUUCCUGAGCUCAACUCGGGCGCUGCUUCUGAAACUGCAGGACUUGAGUGCUGGAGGGGAUAGCGGAAUUCCUAGUGGAGCGGUAAAAUGCGCAGAUAUUAGGAAGAACACCGGUGGCGAAGGCGGCUAUCUGGACAGUAACUGACGCUGAGGCGCGAAAGCGUGGGUAGCGAACAGGAUUAGAUACCCUGGUAGUCCACGCCGUAAACGAUGGAUACUAGGUGUAGGAGGUAUCGACCCCUUCUGUGCCGGAGUUAACACAAUAAGUAUCCCACCUGGGGAGUACGGCCGCAAGGUUGAAACUCAAAUGAAUUGACGGGG